UAGGGAAUCUUCGGCAAUGGGGGGAACCCUGACCGAGCAACGCCGCGUGAGUGAAGAAGGUUUUCGGAUCGUAAAGCUCUGUUGUUAAGGAAGAACGAGUGUGAGAAUGGAAAGUUCAUACUGUGACGGUACUUAACCAGAAAGGGACGGCUAACUACGUGCCAGCAGCCGCGGUAAUACGUAGGUCCCGAGCGUUGUCCGGAUUUAUUGGGCGUAAAGCGAGCGCAGGCGGUUAGAUAAGUCUGAAGUUAAAGGCAGUGGCUCAACCAUUGUAGGCUUUGGAAACUGUUUAACUUGAGUGCAGAAGGGGAGAGUGGAAUUCCAUGUGUAGCGGUGAAAUGCGUAGGUAUAUGGAGGAACACCGGUGGCGAAAGCGGCUCUCUGGUCUGUAACUGACGCUGAGGCUCGAAAGCGUGGGGAGCGAACAGG
rnacentral:rRNA from 1 species